UGGGAUAAGUUGCUUUCAGGACCAGCUUG
rnacentral:piRNA from 1 species